AUUUACUGAAUUAUUUUUGACACACGAAAAAGCUGUAACACAUUUGACAUAUACAUCUUGAUGAGUUCUAAGCCCAAAUUUAAAGAACCACUAAGCAUCAUAAUAGAGAAAUAUGUGGAAACUAACUGUAAGAAUGAAUGUUCCAGUGCCCAGAAUGGACAACAUCUGGGUUCUGAGCGUGCCCAGUAGGGAUGAUUUAACACCGCACUGAUGACUUGCAACAGAAGAUCGUCAUGUGAAAAGCUUUCACAGCCCUCUACUUGAAGAUGCAAGGAUCAGAUCAAACUUCUAGACCCAGGUUAGAAGGCAUGAUGAAACCCUUGGAAUACCCACAUGUCUGGCUCCUACUGGCCUCUUGACCAUUGUUGCAUUUUGGAAAACUAUGUCCAGG